CGAGUAGGGAGACUCAUCCUGCUUUUGUGGAAUGCUUGCUCACAGGCCCCUGCCUUCCUUGUGCAGAACCUACCUGGCAGUGGGGUCUGUGUCUCAGCUCCUGGCUCCGGGCACAGAGCUUAGAGCUGCAUAUCGUGGGCCAGGCCUCCCGUCCUUUUCUCUGAAACCUCGCUGCUGCUCAGCAGGGCUGCACCCUGAGAGGCCGCCCUCUUCUGGCAUGAUCUCCAUCAUCCAUCUUCAAGACUAAGAACUUCCUGUUGCUCAGAAGGCUGUUUCCUGUCUUCACUUUAUCUUCCAUCUGAAGCAAAACUUGUGUUUUUGUUGUUGUUGUUGUUUGUUUGUUUGUUUUAAAUCUGGGUCACAAGGGAUGUGAGAUCUUGGCUCCCUAACUGGCGAUUGAACCCAGACCCCCUGCGCUGGAAGGCGAAGUUUUAACCACUGGAACACCAGGUUUGAAACGUGGCCUCAGGGACCGCUGUUUGCCCACUCAUCAUCUCAAGAAUCAUCAGCGGCAGGCAGCUCCCUUUCUCCUGCAGUUCUGAGCUUCACCACUAAGAGGCGCUGCUGUCUCGAGUUCCAC